CAGUAGCCACGGUGGUACGAAGGGGGCUAGCGUUGUUCGGAUUUACUGGGCGUAAAGCGCACGUAGGCGGACUUUUAAGUCAGGGGUGAAAUCCCGGGGCUCAACCCCGGAACUGCCUUUGAUACUGGAAGUCUUGAGUAUGGUAGAGGUGAGUGGAAUUCCGAGUGUAGAGGUGAAAUUCGUAGAUAUUCGGAGGAACACCAGUGGCGAAGGCGGCUCACUGGACCAUUACUGACGCUGAGGUGCGAAAGCGUGGGGAGCAAACAGGAUUAGAUACCCCUGUAGUCCCUGUCUCUUAUAC
rnacentral:rRNA from 1 species